AACUUUCAUGUUGAGAAGGACUGCAUCAAGCAUCUUCCCACCAACAUUUUCAAAGUAAAUGUCUAUGCCUUCAGGAAAGUACCUGGGUAGAAGAUAGAAAAUUUUAAUUACAAACUUUCAAACAAGGUAGAGAAGAACUUUGAUAUGAUAUUGAGAUUUCUUUUAUAAAGUUAAACUAAUACUGACCUUCUUAAAGCAGCAUCCAAGUCAUCCUCUUCUUUAUAAUUGAAAGCCUCAUCAAAUCCAAACUUGUUCUUCAACAGAUCAACCUUAAUUUUCAGCCCAAAAGAAA